rnacentral:lncRNA from 1 species
GAGAAGGCGGCAGCCAGCCGGGCUGACCCACCCGAGGCGGCGGAGUCCCAGCGACCAGGGACGCUCCGGGGGCACGGGGACCUCAGCGCAAACCCGGGACGCAGACGCUGUCCCCAGCGACACCCUGCCCACAGCCAAGACUUUUUAAAGUGAGUUCGCUUACCUUCCGAUUUCUACGGCCUCAACUCAGCAAUCAAAAGCAAUCACAGCAGAAUUAAACAAAAAUAAGAUCAGCAGCAGCCAGUUGACCAAUACGGUGCUGCAGAAAGGAAGAAAGAAAAGAAAGGGAAAAAAGAGAAAAGAAAAGGAGAGAGAAAAAAAGAAAAGACAGACAGACAGAAAGGAAAUUAAAGGUUUAAAAAAAAAAAGACUCUACUGCCCAACCUUCUGCAGGACCUUGUCAUUGAAAUGCAGACCUAUCCCAGUGUGAGGGAAUCGUAUGAAGCACUAAACCUGGAGAUUAUGGAGUAUCCAACAGAAGCUAGAUUGGGAGAAAGCAGCUGAACAGCGCAAGACAAGGUCAGUUCUGUCUCCUUUCCUUUCCAAGCUGACACCUGGUACUUAACAUUGAACACAAGAAUAUGUUGCCUCCUAGGAAUUACGCCAGCACCCGGGCAAACAACCACUGACGCCCAUUCCUUACAAAGUGAAGCCCAACUCUUCACAGGGCAAAACAGGUAGGAAACACCAUUUUAAUACUCAGGCAUUAAGAACAGGCAGACGGUCUUUUCUUUUGCAUCAUCUUUAAUGGCUAGACGAAACAUUUCAAGUCUGAGCUGUAGGACUUGUAUAUUCUAAUCCCGAGUCCGUGAUUUCUUUCUAUCUCUAGUGUCUUUAUUAUUUUACAGACAUCCUCCUCACCCAUAACAGAUUCUCAAACUACCUCCACUCACUCACACUCCCUUCCCCAUGCGAGAUUUUUGAUUCAACCCAGGGCAUAUGGAUAAAUAAAAUAGGUUAUGUAGACCAAAUGUGUGUGCUAGUAUCCCAAAGAAAAUGAUAACUAUUCUUUGAAAUACAUAUAACUGCGCCUUUCAUGGGGAUGCUAAUGUUCAGACACUGGACACCUCUUGCUGUCCACUGUGUCGAAGACAUUCCCAUUAGUCAGAUUUAUUCAUUAAAUUACAGUUUUCUAAAUGGCAUGAGAAUUUCAGUUUGGGAUAUACUAUGCCUACAUUACUAAUUUAGUGCUUAUUAUUUAUAAACAUAAAUACAUUCAGACAUUAAGAAAAUCAAUAAGGAUAAUAAAAAAAAACCCUCUGGCAUCUACUUGGAAAAAUACAAUAGUAUUAAAAGAGUCCACCUUUUCAGAAAGUUUUGAAAGUUAUCUGUACAUUGUUGCUUUGUUACUGUUGUUACUUCUACCUCUCUUGUGUCAUCCAUGCCUUUCCUCACAGCCUACAUUUAAACAUCUCCUCCAGACCACAGAAGGCCUUUACUCUGAAAUAACCCUUUAGACUCGAAUGCCAAAGCUACUGUGCAGAAAGCAAGGAAACCCUACCCUUCCAUUCUCUAUGUGAAUGUGUAAGAGAGAUUUUAGGAAUGGCAAAGCCAGUCAACAAGGAACGGUUGAACUCAAGUCCUCUGAAAUCGCUGUGGUGUGUGUGAUCCCAGGGCUGCAGUGUUUGCUUACAAAGACUGUGGCUGACCAGACACAGUACAGAUGAAAUGCCGUCAAACAACUCCUUGACCUCUGAAACAAUAGGUGGGGCCUGCUUGAAUCAUAAAACUAACAGAGUCAACAAUUAAACACGGUUGUAACAAUGAGGGUGUCUCCAUAUUGGGCCACCAAAAGUGCUUGAAAGAACAGAAUUGCUUUACAAUAAACUGGCGAGGAGGUUGAUGCUCCACACCUUCAUGGACAGAUAAAGACACUGACUGCAGCCAUGACAAACAAUGCUCCACAGAAAUGCGCUGCUUUCCCUUUUUCUCAGCAAUCUCUUCCAGCUCAAGCCAUUAAGGGACGCAUUUGAAAGCAGGGCACUCUAGAUUUCUCUCCACUGAGCCCGAUCGGGCUCUCUUUUACCACUAGCUGACCAAGGAGCCACACAAUUGUGAUGGGUAGUGUGGUGGCUUCUGGUCCCACCUCCUACCCCAGGACUCUGUCUCUAGUCUCUCGCCAUCCUGCACAGAACUAGCCCUGUGAGUUGUCUCUGCUGAGGUGACUUGCUGGUCACAUGAUCAACUCUGACUCACAAUACUGAAGAAAAGAGGGAACUUGGGAGCCAGUUUGUUAUUUGGCUUAAGGAAUUCUCUUUGAUUUUUCUAGUUUUGCCAUGGCGUAGAACUAAUAACAUAGCCAGAGGAAGAGGGCAGCUAGUUACUUCGCUCUUCUUCUACCUAUAGUGCUUUCAGCCUUGGGUCGAAGCAUAUUCCCACUAGGAAAAGGAUUUGUGUAGUGGUUUACAAAGCCUUUCUAUGCUGAGGUUUGUCAAGGUAGAUAAACUUUCAAUUCAUCCAAUUGUUCUAAUUAGAAUUGGUUAGCAUUCAGUGAAAAGGCUUUACAAGUUCAAUGUCAAUAUUAAUAUAACUUCAUACACAUGGGCAUGUGUAUGUGCUUGUGAGCACAUGUCCAUGCCAGUGUCUAUGUAGCAAAAGUUUUUUUUUCCAUUUUUUCCCUUUUAUUGUAUAUUUUCUUUAUUUACAUUUCAAAUGUUAUCCCCUUUCUCCAGUCUCCCCUACUGAAACCCCCAUCCUAUCCCCCCUCCCCCUGCCUCUAUGAGGGUGCUCCCCCAACCACCUACUCACUCCCACCUUCCCACCCUGCAUUCCCCUACACUGGGGCAUCGAACCCCCUCAGGCCCAAGGGCCACUCCUCCCACUGAUGUCCAACAAGGCCAUCCUCUGCCACAUAAGAGGCAGGAGCCAUGGGUCACUCCAUGUGUACUCUUUGGUUUGUGGUCCAGUCCCCGGGAGCUGGGGGGGGGGAGGGGAGGUCUAGCCAGUUGACACUGUUAUAGCAAAAGUUUUAAUCAAAGAGAUUCCAAGAAUUUAUUUUAAAAAAUACAAAAACGGGUGUUGUGUUACCAAUGCUUUUAAGUAUAUUUCAAGUCUUAAAAGAAGUAAGUAGAUUCAAAUUAUUCUGAGAGUAAAACUAAGAACAGGAAUUGUAGCCAUAGCAGGCGACUACAGUUAUGAGCACUCGCUCACUGUGAGGAGACAAUGUGCUAUUUUGACACAAAACUAUUGAGGGAGUCCCCAAAUCUAACACGGGAUCAUUGUGGUGUUGCAAUAGCCACUUUGUUAUGGCCACUUGAUACCUAAGGGAGUGAAAAUGAGAGAGAGGUGGGCAGUGUCACUUAGACACUUAGACAGGUAAGAUGGCUCCUGACUAGAGUCCCAAGCUACUCACUGUAUCCCCAUACAGUUAUCUGAACCUAUGCUGCUUAGUAGGGAGGCUACCAGCUGCAUGUGGCUAUUUGAAUAGAAACAUUAAUUAAGAUGAAAAUGAGCUUCUCAGUCCCACAAGCCACAUGUGGCCAGGACCUACUGUUAAAGACCCUUAUCUGCAACACAGGUACAAAAUGGUUCUGUCUCUGCUGUAGUCCUAUUGGUCAGUAUUUACUGAGAACUGGCCAGAAUGGGUUUCUUAGCCUCACACACCAGCUACUAAUUAAGGGAGUGGAUUGAUUAGAGUCAACAAAAGUGUUAGCAUGGGGCUGGGGAGAUGGCUCAGAAUAUUUACUGUACCAGUAUUAGGACCUCAGUUUAGCGCCUCAGGACCACUGUAGACAAUGGGCAGGAGCAUGGCACUAGUCACCUGUUACCCUAGGCCUGGUGGGAGGAGAGUUCACAAGGGUAGACAGAUCCUAGGGGUUAUCUGGCUACCUAAAUGGCAAGCUGCUGAUUCAAUGAGAGGACCUGCCCAUAAACAAACAAAUG